GGGAGGGUACUGAGCUUUCGGCAAACGCUGAGGAAAGUCUGCCCACCACAAAACGCGACUUGAAAGCCAAGCUUUCAAGGUUCGGAAACGGACGGCAACAUCGCAGAAACGAUACCACGUGCGAGCAGAAUGAUGCGCGGGCCCCUCGGGCGACCUUAGGGGAGAAUGCGCUGACGUUCUCGCAUGAGCGGAUGAAACGGAUAGUCCUCGCAGGUGCAAGCACAAAAAGUGCGCUAAGUAAAAUGCUCAGAGCGCCUGUCCAGGCCUUUUAAAGGGCCACAGAUGCACAUCAUCUGCACAUCAUCUGAUGGAGGCGCACAAAAGGCAGCUUAUUCCCACCC
rnacentral:RNase_P_RNA from 1 species